ACGAACGCUGGCGGCGUGCUUAACACAUGCAAGUCGAGCGGUAAGGCCCUUCGGGGUACACGAGCGGCGAACGGGUGAGUAACACGUGGGUGAUCUGCCUCGCACUCUGGGAUAAGCCUGGGAAACUGGGUCUAAUACCGGAUAUGACCAUUGACCGCAUGGUUGGUGGUGGAAAGAUUUAUCGGUGUGAGAUGAGCCCGCGGCCUAUCAGCUUGUUGGUGGGGUAAUGGCCUACCAAGGCGACGACGGGUAGCCGGCCUGAGAGGGUGAUCGGCCACACUGGGACUGAGACACGGCCCAGACUCCUACGGGAGGCAGCAGUGGGGAAUAUUGCACAAUGGGCGGAAGCCUGAUGCAGCGACGCCGCGUGAGGGAUGACGGCCUUCGGGUUGUAAACCUCUUUCGACCACGACGAAGCGUAAGUGACGGUAGUGGUAGAAGAAGCACCGGCCAACUACGUGCCAGCAGCCGCGGUAACACGUAGGGUGCGAGCGUUGUCCGGAAUUACUGGGCGUAAAGAGCUUGUAGGCGGUUUGUCGCGUCGAUCGUGAAAACUCGCAGCUCAACUGUGAGCGUGCGGUCGAUACGGGCAGGCUAGAGUUCUGCAGGGGAGACUGGAAUUCCUGGUGUAGCGGUGAAAUGCGCAGAUAUCAGGAGGAACACCGGUGGCGAAGGCGGGUCUCUGGGCAGUAACUGACGCUGAGAAGCGAAAGCGUGGGUAGCGAACAGGAUUAGAUACCCUGGUAGUCCACGCCGUAAACGGUGGGUACUAGGUGUGGGUUUCCUUCCACGGGAUCCGUGCCGUAGCUAACGCAUUAAGUACCCCGCCUGGGGAGUACGGCCGCAAGGCUAAAACUCAAAGGAAUUGACGGGGGCCCGCACAAGCGGCGGAGCAUGUGGAUUAAUUCGAUGCAACGCGAAGAACCUUACCUGGGUUUGACAUACACCGGUAACCUGCAGAGAUGUAGGCCCCCUUGUGGUCGGUGUACAGGUGGUGCAUGGCUGUCGUCAGCUCGUGUCGUGAGAUGUUGGGUUAAGUCCCGCAACGAGCGCAACCCUUAUCUUAUGUUGCCAGCGCGUUAUGGCGGGGACUCGUGAGAGACUGCCGGGGUCAACUCGGAGGAAGGUGGGGACGACGUCAAGUCAUCAUGCCCCUUAUGUCCAGGGCUUCACACAUGCUACAAUGGCUGGUACAGAGGGCUGCGAUACCGUGAGGUGGAGCGAAUCCCUUAAAGCCGGUCUCAGUUCGGAUCGGGGUCUGCAACUCGACCCCGUGAAGUUGGAGUCGCUAGUAAUCGCAGAUCAGCAACGCCGCGGUGAAUACGUUCCCGGGCCUUGCACUCACCGCC
rnacentral:rRNA from 1 species